AAAACCGUUUACUUCAGCAUAAAAUUAUCUAAAUUAAAUUUAUUUUUAUUAAUUGUACUCAAACGUUGCCCGAAGCGUUAAACACCAGAAAAAUCGGUUACCAGAUUUUUACUUGAAUAAACCCUAUAUUUUAUCCGCAGAGUCACGUUUCCUCUCUGCAGAGUCACGUUAAUUUGAACUGUCAAACCCAGGAUUUGCAAAACUGGGUAUAAACUGCUGCAACAUCAAAAUAUAUUUCUUUUAUUUUUGUAUCUGGUUUUACAUGUGUUGUGGAUUUGAGCAGUCAAGAUGGUUGGAUCAGACGAGAACUUUUCAGGUGUGAUGAGGGCUUCAAAUCUUCAAGGGGGGUUAAGGCCUGGUGUUGGAGGAGGAAAAUUGACUGCAGGAGUUGGACAAAAUAGGAGGGCACUUAGUACAAUCAAUAGGAAUGUAAUUGGAGCUCCCCCUUUAACCUAUGCUGUCAACAAGAGAAAUGGCAUUUCUGACAACAAAGCCAAUGCUGCUAACAAAAUCCCUCCUGUUCCGAUUCAUCGUCCAAUCACAAGAAGUUAGCUGCACAAAUCGCAAGCAAACAACAGCAAUCUGCAGUUGAGGUGACAAAGCGACCAGUCCCAGUGGCACCAGAUAGAAAUGAAUCAGAAGACUGCAUUAUUAUCGAUGCUGAAGAAUACAAGGCUACUGGUGAUUCUUCCGUGCCAAUGUUUGUGCAACAUACUGAAGCAAUGAUGGUGGAAAUUGAUAGGAUGGACGAGGAGAUAGAAAUGGAAGAUGUAGAAGACUGUCCAAUUGUGGAUAUAGACAGCACUGAUAAAAAGAACACGCUUGCAGUUGUGGAGUACAUUGAUGACAUCUAUGCUUACUACAGGAAGACUGAGAUGAGAAGGAACGGUUCAGGGACUUACGAGCUCAGAAGAGUCUGAGUACCAUUGACCCAAGCUCCGAAGAAGUCAGAGAGUAUUUCCGUAAAGAGGAAUUCCUUAGGUAUUC